rnacentral:rRNA from 1 species
AUUGAACGCUGGCGGCAUGCUUUACACAUGCAAGUCGGACGAGUGGCGAACGGGUGAGUAACGCAUCGGAACGUCCCGAGGAAUGGGGGAUAACUGUCCGAAAGGAAAGCUAAUACCGCAUAUUAUUCGCACGGCCGAUGGCUGAUUAGCUGGUUGGAGGGGUAAAGGCCCACCAGGGCGACGAUCAGUAGCGGGUCUGAGAGGAUGAUCCGACACACUGGGACGGAGACACGGCACAGACUCCUACGGGAGGCAGCAGUGGGGAAUUUUGGACAAUGGGCGCAAGCCUGAUCCAGCCAUGCCGCGUGUCUGAAGAAGGCCUUCGGGUUGUAAAGGACUUUUAGCAGGGAAGCGUUACCUGAAGAAUAAGCACCGGCUAACUACGUGCCAGCCGCCGCGGUAAUUC